rnacentral:rRNA from 1 species
AUUGAACGYUGGCGGCAUGCCUUACACAUGCAAGUCGAACGGUAACAGCUCUUCGGAGGCUGACGAGUGGCGAACGGGUGAGUAAUACAUCGGAACGUGCCCGGUCGUGGGGGAUAACGGAGCGAAAGCCUUGCUAAUACCGCAUACGAUCUACGGAUGAAAGCAGGGGACCCUCGGGCCUUGCGCGAACGGAGCGGCCGAUGGCAGAUUAGGUAGUUGGUGGGAUAAAAGCUUACCAAGCCGACGAUCUGUAGCUGGUCUGAGAGGACGACCAGCCACACUGGGACUGAGACACGGCCCAGACUCCUACGGGAGGCAGCAGUGGGGAAUUUUGGACAAUGGGCGAAAGCCUGAUCCAGCAAUGCCGCGUGCAGGAUGAAGGCUUCGGGUUGUAAACUGCUUUUGUACGGAACGAAAAGUCUCGGGAUAAUACCCUGGGACCAUGACGGUACCGUAAGAAUAAGCACCGGCUAACUACGUGC